rnacentral:rRNA from 1 species
AUGAAUAUAGCCCUUCUCUCCCGCUGGCUCUGGCGCAUCGCCCAGGGUCAUGGCGGCCUCUGGCUCGACAUUAUCCGGAAUAAAUACCUGCGAGGCCAGCCACUUGCCUUCUGCCAGAAAUCGGGCGGCUCCCAGUUCUGGCAGUCUAUCGUUCAGCUUCUCCCGGUGCUUCGCAUUGGGACCUCCAUCUCGGUGGGGUCCGGCCUCUCGACGCUCUUCUGGUUUGAUCGUUGGGCCGGAGACUCCCCCUUUGCGGCCCGCUUCCCGCCCUCUUCUCUAUCUCCGUCGACCCCAUGA